rnacentral:rRNA from 1 species
UACGGGGGGAGCAAGCGUUGUUCGGAUUUACUGGGCGUAAAGGGCGCGUAGGCGGCCACCGCAAGUCGGUUGUGAAAUCUCUGGGCUUAACCCAGAAAGGUCAACCGAUACUGCGGGGCUAGAGUGCAGAAGGGGCAACUGGAAUUCUCGGUGUAGCGGUGAAAUGCGUAGAUAUCGAGAGGACCACCUGCGGCGAAGGCGGGUUGCUGGGCUGACACUGACGCUGAGGCGCGAAAGCCAGGGGAGCGAACGGG